AUUGAACGCUGGCGGCAUGCCUUACACAUGCAAGUCGAACGGCAGCAUGAUCUAGCUUGCUAGAUUGAUGGCGAGUGGCGCACGGGUGAGUAAUACAUCGGAACGUGCCCUGUAGUGGGGGGUAACUAGUCGAAAGAUUAGCUAAUACCGCAUACGACCUGAGGGUGAAAGUGGGGGACCGCAAGGCCUCAUGCUAUAGGAGCGGCCGAUGUCUGAUUAGCUAGUUGGUGAGGUAAAGGCUCACCAAGGCGACGAUCAGUAGCUGGUCUGAGAGGACGAUCAGCCACACUGGGACUGAGACACGGCCCAGACUCCUACGGGAGGCAGCAGUGGGGAAUUUUGGACAAUGGGCGAAAGCCUGAUCCAGCAAUGCCGCGUGUGUGAAGAAGGCCUUCGGGUUGUAAAGCACUUUUGUCCGGAAAGAAAUGGCUCUGGUUAAUACCUGGGGUCGAUGACGGUACCGGAAGAAUAAGGACCGGCUAACUACGUG
rnacentral:rRNA from 1 species